AGCGAACGCUGGCGGUAGGCCUAACACAUGCAAGUCGAACGGCAGCACAGUAAGAGCUUGCUCUUACGGGUGGCGAGUGGCGUACGGGAGAGGAAUACAUCGGACUCUACUUUUUCGUGGGGGAUAACGUAGGGAAACUUACGCUAAUACCGCAUACGCCCUACGGUUGAAAGCAGGGGAUCUUCGGACCUUGCGCGAAUGAAUGCGCCGAUGUCGGAUUAGCUAGUUGGCGGGGUAAAUGCCCACCAAGGCGACGAUCCGUAGCUGGUCUGAGAGGAUGAUCAGCCACACUGGAACGGAGACACGGUCCAGACGCCUACGGGAGGCAGCAGUGGGGAAUAGUGGACAAAGGGCGCAAGCCUGAUCCAGCCAUACCGCGUGGGUGAAGAAGGCCUUCGGGUUGUAAAGCCCUUUUGUUGGGAAAGAAAAGCAGCAGGUUAAUACCCCGCUGUUCUGACGGUACCCAAAGAAUAAGCACCGGCUAACUUCGUG
rnacentral:rRNA from 1 species